CAACCCACAAGCACAGCCCUCUUCUCCCACAAACUAUCUUGCCUUGCAGCUCCUCUCUGAAAAGGUUCCAUAUCACUCCCUGAAAUCGCAGGAACAAUGAGAGGAAAGUGAGGAAGACGGUGUGCAGAGGAAGGCAGAGAGGCAUGUUCCAGUACUCAGAUUAUCAUGGCACACGGCAGAUUUGAGAUGCUCCUUCAGGGUGCGGAUACAGCUCCAUUCCUUCCUCCUCUUACACACUGUGCAUCUCCUCACAGUAGGGUGUUGAACUCCAUUCGAACGCAGACAAUGGGAUAGGGAUCCAGCAGCAGUUCAAAGGCAUUUCUAAGCGAAGCGACUGAACAAGCUCAGUGCCGGCGCAGGCAGAGCAGGAUGCGGAGCGCCCCGCUUUCCUCCCCUUCGCUCCCCAGGCUGCACGGGCAGGUGCCACACCACGGGCAGACAGUUCUCCCUUUGUUCCAGUGGCAAGAGGAUCAAGGAGGAAAACAAAAAGGUAAAGACAACACACAGGAUUUGCUGCAGCCAGUCCCCUAUAUCUUGAAACUCUCGCUGAAGCCAGUAAAGACCAAACAUGUUUGUGUGUAAAUCCUACUGGAAGAAACAACAGCAAAGACUGAUCACUACUGAGGUACUUUAAUACUGCACUAAGUACCUGAAAAAAAUUAGAUUACUUUUGAGUUCCUCCAUCCUUCCUCACCCAAAUACUGAUAAAGGAUCUAAAUUACCUUAGCUCUUCUCAAAAAGAUACUGGGACACAAAGCAGAUUUUCUGGGAAUCACUGAUGGAGGAGAGAGGACUUCUCAUUCUCUUUAGCAGCCAGAGAAGGGAUGUGACAAGAUCUAAAGAUGCAUUUAACCCACCCAGUAUCUGUUUGUUAACAGAGGAACAGCUUCCUGUCCGGAAUUUCCCCUUCAACUGAGGUUACAGAGAUCCACUCUGUAGCACAAGGAAGACUACAAUUAAACCCAACUACAAUUAAACCCUAACAAGCCACAUGAACGUAGCCAGAAUUGAUGCAGGGAUGGAGGCUGAGAAAGGAGAUAGACCCUGCAGACUUGUGUAGGUACGAUCUGUUAAACUCACUAAAUGCAUAGAUCUUGAUAAAUUUCUAGCUGGCUUGAAUGUUUAUGUUGUCACUGGUGAAGUCUACCCUGCCCAAAAUUCAAUCCAAGACAGCUAUGUCAUAUUAUCCCCCCCUUUUUUUUUUCUUGGCUUGCCACUGAAAUAGAAACAAGAAUCUUCAGAAGGUCUGGAUGUAGUUGACUUUGGGAUUAAGGAGGAAAAAACAAACAAACAAAAACCAGGAACAGUUUUGGAUUUCCCAAAACAUGCCUGUCUCUUACAUCAGGAGACAAAUGAGCCAUCAUUCACCCUGUUUGGAAUGAAGUGCCUGUCUGAUGGAUGAGAAGAAUUUCUGAGGCCAGAAUAAGCACAUAAGGGAAAACUUUUCUUCCUCUUAAGUGAAACAAAGGGGCUGUGUUAUAGGUACCACUUACACCAUUAAAACUUGUGAUAGAUGACAGCAUACAGAGCAAGCAAACCUUCAUCUGUCCCACCAAGGAUCUGGAAGUGUCAGGACCCCGAGGUCACCAUCAGCUCUUAACCGCACAGACCAGCUCAGUGGGACCUUCACGCACCCCCUCUGCCUCUGGCCCAGCACCCCCCUGAAGUUCGGGCCCAGCCCUUUGCUCUUUGCCUGAACUUUGCUGUGGGUAUACCUGCCUGCAGCCUGCCUCUGGCCUUGGCUCCUGGACUGACUUGGCCUGUCGGUACCUUGUCUCCUGGAAAGACUCCUCAUACAUACACUGUAGGUUGUACUCAGUUCUGUCUUUGGCGCUGUCUUCUGGCUGGACUUUGGACACAUGCUGCAGCCUUCAGCCCUGUGUUUUUGAGCUCCUGGAUGGAGCCACGUCACUCCAUCUUGCCUGUGACUGUCCACAGACCCUGUCACCAGCACCAGGCUCUGCCUGCCAUUCUCAGACCCUGUGGGACGGCGGUCCAUCAGUGCAAGCAGUGCCUGCGCUGGGGUCACCCCUGCCCCCGCCUCGCCUCAGCUCCCAGCCUUGCCGUGCGCUCACAAGAGGCUGGUGCGUAGUGCUUGCAUGAGAAGAUUUAAAAAUCGAUGGAAAUAAUAUUCAUCUCCUGUAACUGAUGCCUGGACAGGUCCUUCCUGGGAAGCCCUCCAAGUUGUCCAUAAUCACAACCUAAGUUGAUUUCCAAGCCUUUAAGCACAGCCUUAGGGCAGAUCUUGGCAGUUUGGUGAGGGCAUUAGCCUAGUAAUAGAUCAACAGCUGUAAUGCCAGAUACAGAAAAUAUAUUCUAAGAGACUAUUAGAAUUUUGUAAUAUGUAAGCACGUGAAUCAUUUUGUGGAAGAAGGUGAAAGGAGGAAAGAAUACGUUUGCAUUUACAGGAGAAAACUUUAUGUGUUACUUCUCCUCUUCCAUGUUAAAGUAGGAAAAAAGCUCUUGAUGUAUUGAAUGUAGCAUUCCCCACCCAUAAGAUUAACCGAUCAUUUAAAACACAUGGAGAGAAGGGUGAAAAGGGCCAAAGUCAAGCCAUUCAAUUGACAAAUAGAUGAUAUAUUCAAAAGAGAGGAACACAAACCUGCCAGAGCACCCUAAGUCGUGUCCUUCUCCUUUGUAAUUAUUUUUUUGUCUCUGCUCAGCUAUGCUCACAUUUCAUAUCUCAGACCUCCAAAGCCCAUGUGGGGAUAAAGUAGCUUGUAUGGAGGAAAGGAUAAUGAGGUCAGUAGGUGUUGCUAUGCAGGUUGCUAGCCUGACAAAGCCCUCAUACUUAGUAGUGCCUACAAUUUGAGACAGUUAUUUCAUUUUUGUAGUAAUCUUUAAUACUCAACAGGCUCAUCUUCAGCAACAGCCAAUCCUUAAAAAUGAUGCAAACCGUAACUGGCAAAAAUCCACCACUAACUUGCCAGUUCUCUUGAACUUCAGUCCAAUAAACUAAUUAAAAUGUUUAAGACCAAAUCCUGUCCAAGCACUAGAAUUCAUUCUCUGUUGCAUAAAUGUGGCAUGAUGUCAUGAAGACACACCAUCUAAGUAAACCAGCACAAUUCUGGAGAUGUUUCAAUGAGACGAUCUCACUGACAUGAUUAGAUCAGUUCCGCAAGUUUCAGAGGAACUGGUUACUGUAACCUGCCCUAGACAGUAAGAUGAAGAACUGGUGAAUGCAAAGAAAUACCCAGUAGACAAGUCCUUAUUAGAAUCAAGUGACAGGAAAAAAACAGACACAGCUAGCAUCCAGAAAAAGAUAAAAUACAAUGGAAGGGAGAAGGAAUUAUUUGUCCCUCUAUUCCUGCUAUGACUGAAUAGAGCUGAGAUAUAUCACAGGAAAAUAAAAGCUUUUAGGGAAACGAAGAUUUCUUGAGAAGUAAGCUGCAGGCAUUUAGUGGCUCACUCUCGCACUUUUUCUGUAAUUUAACUGUGGAAUAUUACUGGGAGAGGCAUCUCAUUGCAGGAAACAUUAAAACAUUAUUAACCAAUAACUAAGUAUUGCUAAGGAUGAACUAAUAAUGGGUUAGCACAAGAAAAGCCCAAAGUUCUCUUUUAAAUUACUAACAAUAACUUAAAGUUUCCAAUAACUCUGCUUUCAUGCACAGUGAAAUGGGUUCUGCAUGGCCUACCUGGCUAUGUAUUCUGCUGCAUGGUCUCCUCUCCAUCUGCUAUCAUUUCUACAUUUUUGCUGUCUUUCUCCAUUUCCUAGCUUUUGUGUCAACAAAAUCAAAGGUGCAAUGACAAUCUACUGUGGCUAUAUCUGAAAUCAAAUAUUCUUCUCCAUUUGCUGUUCUAGUCAUGAUGUCACAUAUACAUUGACAUGAGUAGCAUAUAUAAAGCAUUCCAUUAAUAUUUUUACUCUCUCACUUAUUAUAUUUAUCCAUUUCUCAUGUGAAUAUUACACCAAGUGUCUCUGGAAUUAUGCAACUAUUCAAGCUGGACAGAAUGCCAAUGUGGUCACUGCAUUCAUUCUACUUCAUCACAAACUUUUGUUUAAUUUAUCCAGUUUCUCCUCUUGAGUUUGCAAAAGUAGCCCUGGCUUCUAUUACCACUCUACUCCUCACAACAAUGUAUUGCAAGCAUAAAAGCCUUUAUCAUGUGUUUUGAACUAUUUCUGCUCCUUUUCUAGUCUCUGCAAAUCACACCCGUAAAACUGACAAGAAAAAGUUUACAAUAGAAAAUAUUUGCUAUUUGAAUCACAUUGGAAACACAAGCUACAAAAACAGGGGCACACCAACUGCAUAGGUCCUACACUUCUUCCAACCUCCAAAAUCCUUUUUUAUGACCAAUGCCUGAAGACCUUUAACAAUGUGCUUCCAGAAAUCUCAGGGUUAAGGUUGAGAGAAAGAGAAAGCAAAGAGCUGCACCGUGAGUGGGGCUUGGGAAGGGGCUGCCAAAAGAAAGCGGGCACUGCAUGGAGAUGACCCUGGAAGAAAUCAUUCAUUUGGACAAGAGUAUCAAACUAGUCUAUGGCUUCCCAGGAAAAUUAGGGUUAAAGUCCAGCUUCCGGUUGACAGACAGAGGAAGUUCAGAGCUGCAGCAUGUGCAGGGCUCAAAGAAUCUGAAGUCCUCAUUUAGCAUGUCAACCUUUCCUGACCACCUGAGUGUCUGUGCACCGCAACUCAGCAUUAAGUACUAGCUCCUGCAAUUUCCUUUCUAUAAAACCUGUCUACUUGCACAAGGAAUGCACCGUUCCACCCUCCCUUUUUUGCCCUCUGAUUUUCUGCACAGCUGAAGCCGUAAGUUUGCUCAUACAAAGCAACCUGAGAGAUCUGUACAACUGAGAACACUUUUCAGGCAUGAAAAAGUACUUCAACCAGACUUGUCGAGCACACACCCAAAACCAAAUCAGCUCUGUUAUUUCCAAGCAAAGAAUCUAGGAACCUUUCAACGAGGUAAGACUUGACUACACCAUUCCUCUUCUACUGCACUGACUGGAGGAACUUCCACUCUCAGGAUGGCAUUGGGCUUUUUUCAAGUAUUGCAGCACCUGAAAUCCAUAAAUGUCACAGGAGCCUGAAUCUCUGCAAAUUUUGCAUCAGGCACCUUGACAGGACUGGUGCUUUUUUUGUUAUAUUAGAGUUCAGUAUUCAAACAGAUGUCUUAUAUAAACUCCGCAAGAAUUACUUUCUCUCACUAUUCAUCCAGACAGAACUGACAAAAAAAAGUAGGACUCCUUUCCUUCAGCACAGAAUUUAAACCAACCCAAUAUUUCUAUUUUUAAUUACAUUUAUGAUAUUUCCUGUGAGUGUAAGUCAUGAAUGCAGUUCCAGUAUGCUGGGAGCAAUGUAAAUAUAGUCAUUCCCAAAGGGAUCUUAGAGCUGUUAUGCACAGGUCAGAAAUUCUGUGAAUUGCAAAUCUGAAACUUUAAAAGCUUUUUAGCUUGCAUCAUUCCCAUUCCUUUUCAAAGGCUGAGUUAAUGGAUACUGAACAACAUUGCCUCAAAUUCUGCCCACAAGGCAUGGAAGUAGUAACGCCAUUUGAAUAAAGUAAUAUUUAGCAAUAAGCAAACACUCAGUCCUAUCUCACUCAAGAACUUCAUCGGAAAUUCAUUUCUGAUCCAAAUUAACUCAUCUGCCACUUCAUGCUGGCAACUGUGCAACUGAAGACAAGACACGUGGAACUGUUUCCUCUGCAAAUCACUCUAAGGUGGGAAGGAGGAGUGCAACUUCACAUUGCAGCAUACCAGUCUAGUUGCCUCCUCCUUCUACUUGAUUCCUGGCCUCUUAUUUUGACACGAGGCCACUCAAAAGGACUUCAGUAAGCUCCACUUACCAAAUCUAGAUAUGUCAGCCCACAAAAAUGCAAAAGAUUCUGCACUUACCUCUGAUCACAGCCUGGUGAAGAAAAAAUACUCAUCAGCUGCUUCUCUCAGGAACAAUCUUCUGGUUUAAAAUAAAUAAAAAAGAAACAAGACUUUAAACAGUGCUUCUCUCUCUUCUUUAAUGUUAGUCUCCACCAGUGUUCAUAAACAUUUACUUAGCAGAACACCGUAGCUCUCCAGAACCAAGGUAAUGAUUACAUUACACUAACUAUGGCACGAGGACAGAACGAGGCCAUGACAACAGCCUUGUUGGCACCGACUAGUCAAUGACAUGGGGCUGCACUGCAGCGGGCUCGAUUGUGCAAGAGUGAGAAAGACUGGGGUGAGAUAAGAAAUGACAAGUGCAGGGAUAAAAACAACAACAAAACCCCAACCAAACCAAGAACCUGGAUUUAGAGGUAAACCAUGAAGAAAAAAGAAA